CUAGGGAAUAAACAGCUGUGAGCAAGUGAGAGAUUUAGCAGUGCUGGGACUGUGGAGCAGUUUGCAGAAGCUUCCAUGGGAUUAAUGAAGAUGAAGCUGACUGACUGUAUCCGCAGGUAUAUGAGCCCUGAGAGGGAAGGAGAACCUGCUCCACCAUGAAGAGAGGCAGGAUAGAGGGCUGAGGUGCAGGCCGGAACAUACUCAGCGGUGUAAGUGAUGAUUUAGAGCUCCUGCCUUCCGCUGAAGGUACGGUGUCUGUUACAGCCUGACUGCCGUGCUCUCACAAAGCAACUAUGGCUUCCCGAGGAACGCCUGGACAUUUGUCACAGCAACUAUCCCCACUUUGGAGAGGACAGCCUAGCCGGGUGCCACAGGACCUGGCAGACAGGGCCAUUGUGUGUGGUAGCCACGUGGGAUGGAGGAUGACCUACUGGUGUCGGCAGGAGAGGAGAAGCCUUCAUCUCUGUCACUGAGCUCUGCAGCCAAAGCUUCAAAAAAACCAAAAAAAAGCGGUCAUGGACACCCUCUCUCCUGGAGGAAGGCAGACGAGAAGCAGUUUCUGCUGCUCACGGAGAAGCAAGAAGAGGAGUCGUGAGGAGCGGCGAGUCAAGAGUGAGCCUGAAGAGAGGAUGAGGAAGAUGGAAGAGAAAGCUCACGGAGAAGCAAGAAGAGGAGUCGUGAGGAGCGGCGGGUCAAGAGUGAGCCUGAAGAGAGGAUGAGGAAGAGAGAAGAGGAGGGAGGAGAAAGGCACUCUGGGCAAAGGGACCGCCCUGGCAGCAGGGCUGUGGUCACGUAAGAGCAUGGCUGGCACCUUUGGUGCCCUUGCUCCCUUUGCGCUGGGCGACCUCCCUGUAAGCAGGGCUCGGGUCUUUGCUUUUGUUGGCCUUUUGCCAUGUUGCUCCUUGGCUGCCUGGAGAGAGGGACGAGCCUGUAAGGAGGCUGCGAGUCCCUUUCUCCGCCCCUGGGGGGACAGGGAGCUCACCGGAACCCAGGCCCGCCCUGUAAGCAGGGCCGGGCUCUUUGCCCCCCGCGGCUUUCCGCCUGCCGGCCCCUGGCCGGCGCCACCCCCGCGCUCGGGGUGUGGGCCAGCAUUGGCCCUUUGGCGCCCCGUGAAGCCCCUUGGCAUGUUGAGUGCUCCGGCCUCCAUGCAGCCUGGGGGCAGGCCUGAGCCUCUCCUCCCGCUCCUGGGUACGGACCGGGCCCCCGACGUUGGCUGGCUGCCCUGGGCUCCCUUUCUCUCCUGGAAAGCCGUGUUACAUGUCUCCUGUCUGCUGUGCUUGUCCCUUCCCUCUUGUCCUCUGUCCUGUUGGGAGUGAGUGAGCUAGCGAGUGAGCUUGUCCUCUAGGCCUCUGUAAAAAGCGCUGCAGCGUAUUAGCUUUGGCUUCCCAGGCCUGAAAGAAGGGCUCUGGGCAGUAGCAGAGGGGUCCCGUCUCGGGCCCAGAUUUGAGGAGGGGGGAGAGUUCCGGCUUGCCCCUUCCUCCCCCGGGCAGAGCGGAGCCACUUGGUAAUGGUGUGGGCGAGGGGACCUGCCCGUAGUCGGGGCCCAGGUCUGUGCCCGCGUGGCCGCCUGUCCUGCUGGCCACGUGGCCAGCGUGGCGGCCCUGUAGUCGGGGCGUGCGUCACAAGCCGUGGAGCCCUGUGCGCCCGGAGCAGCUUGGCCUCCCUGUAAGCAGGGCGGAGGGGCCUGCCCUCCCGCGGCCUGCUGCUUUAGCCAGCCACCAGGAAUGACCCCUCCCCGGCCCGCUAAGGGGGCAGGCGGAGGAAGUGCCCUGCCGCAGGGCGCUGUGCGGCCUCCGGGCCGCUUCUUCUGGGGGCCGCCUGCCCGCAGCCGGGCUCGAGGUGCCCCCUGGGCUCCUGCAGACGUGCUGUUGUGCUGCAGCCGGGCUGGCCAGCCCGUAGGCCGGGCCUAGGCCAGAGCCUCCUGCCCCGUGGGGCUCGGGGCUAGUGCCAGCGCUGGGGGCAGCGCCCUGUAAGCAGGGCCGCGCACGUCCCCUGCGCUGUGCGGGAGGUGCUGGGAG